rnacentral:rRNA from 1 species
UGGGGAAUAUUGGACAAUGGGCGAAAGCCUGAUCCAGCCAUGCCGCGUGUGUGAAGAAGGUCUUCGGAUUGUAAAGCACUUUAAGUUGGGAGGAAGGGCAGUAAGCGAGUACCUUGCUGUUUUGACGUUACCGACAGAAUAAGCACCGGCUAACUCUGUGCCAGCAGCCGCGGUAAUACAGAGGGUGCAAGCGUUAAUCGGAAUUACUGGGCGUAAAGCGCGCGUAGGUGGUUCGUUAAGUUGAAUGUGAAAGCCCCGGGCUCAACCUGGGAACUGCAUCCACAACUGGCGAGCUAGAGUAGGGCAGAGGGUGGUGGAAUUUCCUGUGUAGCGGUGAAAUGCGUAGAUAUAGGAAGGAACACCAGUGGCGAAGGCGACCACCUGGGCUCAUACUGACACUGAGGUGCGAAAGCGUGGGGAGCAAACAGG